ACAGUUUCAGGAUGCAAGCUCGAGGCUUCUUGAUCCUAUGUGUUGUAUUGAGUGUUGGUCACUGGUCUUUGGGAAGCUUGGACAGAAGUGGGGCAGCCAUGGAGCUGCUGACUGGGACUGGCCUGUGGCCCGUGGUCAUAGUCACAGUCAUCUUCAUAUUACUGGUGGACAUGUUGCACCGGUGCCAGCGCUGGACUUCUUGCUGCCCACCAGACCCUGUGCCAUGGCCUGUGCUGGGUAACCUGCUGCAGGUGGACCUGGAUAACAUGCCAUAUAACUUGUACAAGCUUCACAACCGCUAUGGUGACGUGUUCAGCCUGCAGAUGGGCUGGAACCACAUGGCCGUGAUCAACGGACUGAAGGUGAUACAGGAAGUGUUGGUGACCUGUGGAGAGGACACUGCUGACCGCCCUGAAAUGCCCAUCUUUCCACACCUAGGCUAUGGGCAAAAAGCUAAAGGCAAAGGCUGUGUGGGGGCAGAGAUGGCAUCAAAGCCAGACAAGGGGGGACAGUGAGCAAAGGAAGGUCAGAUCAUGAUGCAGGUGGUAAUGUAGUUAAGCAUUGCAGCAGAAAGUCACAGAAAUCCAUUGUGGAGCCUCCUGAGCAUGGUGGAGGGUGGUAGAGACAUGUACUGGAGGAAGGGUGAGGUAUGGAGGACACCGACAAAGAAGAGAAAUGAAGGUGGGAGGGGGCACCAAAGCCAGGUGUCCUUGGUUUUACACAGAUGUGUCUGCAGGUGUGGUCCUUGCUCCUUAUGGGCCUGAGUGGAAAGAGCAGAGGUGAUUCUCUGCGUCGACCCUGUGCAACUUCAGCCUGGGCAAGAAAUCACUGGAGCAGUGGGUGAUGGAAGAGGUUGGACACCUCUUUGAUGUCUUCACUGCCCAUGCUGAGGAGGCUGUAGACAAGAGAUUUGGAAAGAACACAUCUAGAAGUGUCCACCACAGUAAUAGGAGCCUGGAGAUUGACAUACAGCAAAAGGAAGUGAGAAGCUGACCAAGGUCAGGGCUUCUAGAAGCUGAGACCCUGGCCCUCUGCCCACAUGGAACAUCUGUGAGAUUUUCCAGGUUCUGAACACAUUCCCAAUUCUCCUACGCAUCCCAGGGUUGGCUGACAAAGUCUUCCCUGGGCAAAAGACAUUUCUCAUAAUGGUGGAUAAGCUGGUGACUGAGCACAAGAGGACCUGGAACUCGGACCAGCCGCCUCGAGACCUGACUGAUGCCUUUAUGGCUGAGAUGGAGAAGGCAAAGGGAAACCCUGAGAGUAGCUUCAAUGAUGCAAAUCUAUGUCUGGUUGUCCUUGACCUGCUGGGUGCUGCAACUGUGACCACCUCAACCACACUGUCCUGGGCCCUGCUGCUUAUGAUCCUGCAUCCGGAUGUGCAGUGUGAGCCUGGCUGGGGCUGUCAAGAAAGGAGGAGGAGGGUAGAGGCAAACUCCUUAAACUUACUUGGGACACUUGUAGAUCCCAGCAUUGAGUUAACCCAGACUGCAGUAAGUAUGGUUGCCUUAUUUCUCCCAUGGACCCAGCCCUUAACAGAGAGGUAGUGGAUGGACAAGGGGCACCCACUGAAGCAUCUUAACUGAUGGGAAAAUGUCCUUCCAGGCCAAGUACAACAGGAAAUCGAUGAGGUCAUUUGGUAUGUGUGGCUUCCAGAGAUGGCAGACCAGGUCUGCAUGCCCUUCACCAAUGCUGUCAUUCAUGAGGUACAGUGCUUACAGUUACUGGGAUAUCAUCCCAAUAACUUUGCCACACAGGACUUCUCGUGACAUUGAAGUGUGGGGCUUUCUUAUCCCUAAGGUAGGUCUGGGUCUCUCCAGUGUCUAGUCAGUGUUGCCAGCUACCCGCUGACUUGAUCUGCCCAGUUAAGAAGGACUAGAUUACAGGCAUUCCAAUUCUCAACUCAAGGGAACCAACAUCCCCUGGGUAAAUAUGGGAAUAGAAACAAGAGCAAUAACUGCUUUAGAAUCCCUACCUAGAAAUGCAGGCAAGGUAAAAUAUGGCAGGAGUGGUUGUAACAGCCACUACCUACAAAUACAGGUCACAGUGUGUACAUCUGUCCCAUCACAUUUCCAUGUCACAGUAUUAAUGAAAUCUGUGAAGCUUCUGUGGUUAGUUUAUAUGACAGCAUCCAGUGUGUGUGUGGUACAGGCUGUGCCUGUGAAUGUCGUGACUAGUAAGGGUCUAGUAAAACUCACCCUGUUCAUGUUCACACAAUGUGCUUCAUGCCAGGGCAUGACUCUCAUCUCCAACCUGUUCCGUGCUGAAGGAUGAGACUGUCUGGGAGAAGCCCCUUCGCUUCCAUCCUGAACACUUCCUGGAUGCCCAGGGCCACUUUGUGAAGCCUGAGGCCUUCAUGCCAUUCUCAGCAGGUGCCUCUAGGGUGCCUUCCUGCCUAUCUUUCCCUAGGGUGCCUUGGAGGGUGGAGCACCAAUCAGGUCCCAGACUGAGCCCUCUUCUACACAUAGGCCACAGAUCAUGCCUGGGGGAGCCCCUGGCCCUCAUGGAGCUCUUCCUCUUCUUCACCUGCCUCCUGCAGCGCUUUAGCUUCUCAAUGCCAGCUGGACAAUCCCUUCCCAGUGAUUAUGGCAUCUAUACAAUGCCAGUUACUCCAGCACCUACCAGCUCUGUGCAGUGGUUUGCUAGCAGGGGCAGUGGCUCCAGCCAUCAUCACAGAUUGUUCUGACUGAUGUCCAAUAAACAAGUUUUGUGUCUGAAUC
rnacentral:lncRNA from 1 species